rnacentral:rRNA from 1 species
GACGAACGCUGGCGGCGUGCUUAACACAUGCCAGUCGAACGGAAAGGCCCUGCUUUUGUGGGGUGCUCGAGUGGCGAACGGGUGAGUAACACGUGAGUAACCUGCCCUUGACUUUGGGAUAACUUCAGGAAACUGGGGCUAAUACCGGAUAGGAGCUCCUGCUGCAUGGUGGUGGUUGGAAAGUUUCGUCGGUUGGGGAUGGACUCGCGGCUUAUCAGCUUGUUGGUGGGGGAGUGGCUUACCAAGGCUUUGACGGGUAGCCGGCCUGAGAGGGUGACCGGCCACAUUGGGUCUGAGAUACGGCCCAGACUCCUACGGGAGGCAGCAGUGGGGAAUAUUGCACAAUGGGCGGAAGCCUGAUGCAGCAACGCCGCGUGCGGGAUGACGGCCUUCGGGUGGUAAACCGCUUUCGCCUGUGACGAAGCGUGAGUGACGGUAAUGGGUAAAGAAGCACCGGCUAACUACGU